GAUGAAGAACGCAGCGAAAUGCGAUAAGUAAUGUGAAUUGCAGAAUUUAGUGAAUCAUCGAAUCUUUGAACGCAUAUUGCGCCCGCCAGCACUCUGGCGGGCAUGCCUGUUCGAGCGUCAUUUCAACCCUCAGGCCUCGCGUCUGGCGUUGGGGCGCUGCGGCCCUCCCGCAGGCCCCCAAAUUUAGCGGCGGAUUCCCCGCGGCCCUGAGCGCAGUAGAGAGUAAAAACUUCAACGCUCCGGCGGCCGUGGCGCGGUUCUGCCUCUUUCCCAAUAGCGCCAAUAGCGCCACCCCCAAAAAAGUUGACCUCGGAUCAGGUAGGACUACCCGCUGAACUUAAGCAUAUCAAUAAGCGGAGGA
rnacentral:misc_RNA from 1 species